CUGAUCCAUAAGUGUUGC
rnacentral:piRNA from 1 species